UACGUAGGGUGCGAGCGUUGUCCGGAUUUAUUGGGCGUAAAGAGCUCGUAGGCGGCUCGGUAAGUCGGAUGUGAAACCUCCAGGCUCAACCUGGAGUCGCCAUCCGAUACUGCUGUGGCUUGAGUCCGGUAGGGGAGCAUGGAAUUCCUGGUGUAGCGGUGAAAUGCGCAGAUAUCAGGAGGAACACCAGUGGCGAAGGCGGUGCUCUGGGCCGGAACUGACGCUGAGGAGCGAAAGCGUGGGGAGCAAACAGG
rnacentral:rRNA from 1 species